rnacentral:rRNA from 1 species
CCUACGGGAGGCUGCAGUGGGGAAUAUUGGACAAUGGGGGGAACCCUGAUCCAGCGACGCCGCGUGAGUGAAGAAGUAUUUCGGUAUGUAAAGCUCUAUCAGCAGGGAAGAAAGAAAUGACGGUACCUGACUAAGAAGCCCCGGCUAACUACGUGCCAGCAGCCGCGGUAAUACGUAGGGGGCACGCGUUAUCCGGAUUUACUGGGUGGAAAGGGAGCGUAGACGGCGAUGCAAGUCUGAAGUGAAAGGCGGGGGCCUAACCCCAGGACUGCGUUGGAAACUGUAUGGCUGGAGUGCAGGAGAGGUAAGUGGAAUUCCUAGUGUAGCGGUGAAAUGCGUAGAUAUUAGGAGGAACACCAGUGGCGAAGGCGGCUUACUGGACUGUAACUGACGUUGAGGCUCGAAAGCGUGGGGAGCAAACAGGAUUAGAUACCCUGGUAGUC